rnacentral:rRNA from 1 species
CCUACGGGAGGCAGCAGUGAGGAAUAUUGGUCAAUGGGAGAGAUCCUGAACCAGCCAAGCCGCGUGAGGGAAGACGGCCCUAUGGGUUGUAAACCUCUUUUGUCGGAGAACAAAACCCGGGACUUGUCCCGGACUGCGUGUAUCCGAAGAAAAAGCAUCGGCUAACUCCGUGCCAGCAGCCGCGGUAAUACGGAGGAUGCGAGCGUUAUCCGGAUUUAUUGGGUUUAAAGGGUGCGUAGGCGGUCCGUUAAGUCAGCGGUAAAAUUGCGGGGCUCAACCCCGUCGUGCCGUUGAAACUGGCAGACUUGAGUUGGCGAGAAGUACGCGGAAUGCGCGGUGUAGCGGUGAAAUGCAUAGAUAUCGCGCAGAACUCCGAGUGCGAAGGCAGCGUACCGGCGCCAGACUGACGCUGAGGCACGAAAGCGUGGGGAGCGAACAGGAUUAGAUACCCGGGUAGUC